rnacentral:rRNA from 1 species
AUUGAACGCUGGCGGCAUGCCUAACACAUGCAAGUCGAACGGCAGCACGGGAGCUUGCUCCUGGUGGCGAGUGGCGGACGGGUGAGUAAUGCAUAGGAAUCUGCCCAGUAGCGGGGGACAACUUGGGGAAACUCAAGCUAAUACCGCAUACGCCCUACGGGGAAAGGCGGGGGACCGUUCGGGCCGUCGCACUAUUGGAUGAGCCGCGUCGGAUUAGCUUGUUGGUGGGGUAAGUGGCCUACCAAGGCGACGAUCCGUAGCUGGUCUGAGAGGAUGAUCAGCCACACUGGGACUGAGACACGGCCCAGACUCCUACGGGAGGCAGCAGUGGGGAAGUAUUGGACAAU